GGAAGAGUGUGCGCGCGUUCUCUUCCCUCGCGCUUGGCUGGUGUGGAUGUGAAGGAAAUGUGUUUUGGAAAGUUGUGUGUCCUUAUCUGUCAAGGAUAAAAGUGGAACAUCCUAAGUGUGUGAUUUUCUAUGAGCGAUGUAAGAAGAAGCUUGAAAAAAAAUAGUUACUUGGAAAAAAAAAUAUCUACGUUUAUCCUUAAAAAUCGCAAGAAAAGUGUGUAGAAAAGGGAGUAAAUAAGAAGAAGGAGAAGAAAUAAAAAAAAAAUUCGUCCGGGACCUGAGGUUGAUAAAAAGGAGAGUGAGGAAUCACGCUGAUGCCUUGAGAGCGAAGGAGCCCGAAGGAACCGAUGGCGAUCCCGUGGGCGGAGUCUCCCCGAAGGGCUUGAGAGCGGCCUGCUUCGCCCUCGUCCUUGGGAGAUCCUAAGAGGUCCUUCCGCAGACUCUUUGUCCUUCAGAAGCCUCGUUCUUAGCCGACCCUCCGGUAGGAUGGUGGUGGAGAGGUCCUGCAGCAAUGUGGAGGGGAACACGUACUUCCUCCUGCAGGAGAGGAGGAUCGUCAGGAAGAAGAAAAGGCAGUGUGUAGGAGUGCACGAGGGUCUCCUCCGGUGCGGAUCGGGGCGCGGGUCGUCCGCAGAGUGUCCGCACCAGUGCCCCCCUCCCCCUCCCCCCCAGGGAAGCCCCAUC